rnacentral:rRNA from 1 species
GAGCGGGGGGGUGCGUGGGGGCUGCCUUAAAUGCAGUCGACGGUAACAGGUCUUCGGACGCUGACGAGUGGCGAACGGGUGAGUAAUACAUCGGAACGUGCCCAGUCGUGGGGGAUAACUACUCGAAAGAGUAGCUAAUACCGCAUACGAUCUGAGGAUGAAAGCGGGGGACCUUCGGGCCUCGCGCGAUUGGAGCGGCCGAUGGCAGAUUAGGUAGUUGGUGGGAUAAAAGCUUACCAAGCCGACGAUCUGUAGCUGGUCUGAGAGGACGACCAGCCACACUGGGACUGAGACACGGCCCAGACUCCUACGGGAGGCAGCAGUGGGGAAUUUUGGACAAUGGGCGAAAGCCUGAUCCAGCAAUGCCGCGUGCAGGAUGAAGGCCUUCGGGUUGUAAACUGCUUUUGUACGGAACGAAAAAGCUUCUCCUAAUACGAGAGGCCCAUGACGGUACCGUAAGAAUAAGCACCGGCUAACUACGUGCCAGCAGCCGCGGUAAUACGUAGGGUGCGAGCGUUAAUCGGAAUUACUGGGCGUAAAGCGUGCGCAGGCGGUUAUGUAAGACAGAUGUGAAAUCCCCGGGCUCAACCUGGGAACUGCAUUUGUGACUGCAUGGCUAGAGUACGGUAGAGGGGGGAUGGAAUCCCGCGUGUAGCAGUGAAAUGCGUAGAUAUGCCGGAGGAAACACCGAUGGCGAAGGCAAUCCCCUGUACCUGUACUGACGCUCAUGCACGAAAGCCGUGGGGAGCAAACAGGGAUUAAAUACCCUGUUAUCCACGCCCUAAACGAGGUCAACUGGUGUUGGGAAUAAGUUUUUCUCAUAACGAACUAACGCGUGAACUUGACCGCCUGGGGAGUACGGCCCGCAGGUUUAAACC